UGCUUUUUUUUCAGUCGGCUGUAAGGCUAACGACGCCGUUUGCACGGCUAUCGACGUCAGCGGCUCGCAGAGGUGGUCCCAAACGCAUAAAGGAGCUUCAGGAGAUGAUGCAGGUGCCCAACGGCCUUCCGUGCAUCUGAAGCGUGGAAUCGUGGUGGACUUGGCCCUGUAUCAGUUCACGCUGGGACUGUGUGCCUUUUGGUGUUGGAUACACCGCAUUUACUAUCUACGAGAUGGCGUUCCCGAAGAAAGUUUUUAAAACUGAGAGAUCUGGCUUAGCUAAUGUGACAGUCUAUCACAUGGGAUAACAUAACCUGCUGGUCUUGGGGAUCAGUAUUGAAGAAAAACAGCAUGUUCAUAAAUGAAUGGUUCACAGGCAAUGUUCGCAUUGCUAUUAAUAGAUUACAGUAAAAUUAAAUGAUGUUUGUUUUUUUUAAAUUGACCAAAAAUACAUACGUGGCAAUGUAGGAGGAAGUUGUAGUAUGUAUAUAUUUUAGCCUAAUUAUUUUAUUGUUAAAUUUGCAUGUACUUGUUAGCGUUACCUGUGUUAAUAAAUGUGCCUCGUUGUAUAGGUGCAUAGUAAAACUGA